rnacentral:ncRNA from 2 species
CGCGAUGCCAGGCCGACAGGCCUGGACGCCAGCCGGCGGUGGGGGAAGUCCGGUGAAAGUCCGGCGCUGUCCCGCAACGGUAACCGGCUUUGUCCGGAAGCCCGAGUACCCGCUUCGCGGCCUUACCCCGU